AUGAAGGUAACUGGCCUUGAUGUGGACCCCCUGAGUGUCUUGUCCUUCACUGUUAGCCUUUUAGAGAUACAGUGCUCUGCGACGCUGACACAAGAAAAGCUCUCUAUGACCAAAGGACAGGGCAAGACGGUCCGGAUAAGAUGCACAUGGGACGCCAAACCAGACUACAUUCACUGGUACCGACAGAAGGGCGGCGGGGCUUUAGUACGAAUGCUUUACAUAGUAACUGACUCAGGAGCGGUGAGCUAUGACACCAGUGACCAUCAAAGGUUCAAAACAGAGGACAACGGCUCGACUCUGCGUAAAGACAGAGCAGAGACUGACGACGAGGCAACAUAUUACUGUGCCGCAUGGGACAGCCACAGUGACAGACACCAAAAGGACCCCCGCACAAAAACACGUCAUUAUGAUAAUAUGAACGGCACUAUGUGA